CAGACAAGGUUUUUCACAAAUUGUAUAAACUAAUCAAGCCAACACACAAUAGUAAUAAUUACAAUAGAUACGUAUGCUAAUAUCUUUAGUGUCCUCAAAGAUCAAUGUAUUGCCAGAUGACUUUGAUUUGAUGUUUUCUGACAUGGUUUUCGAAGAUGAGAUGAUAGUUGCUGUUCCUAAUCCAUGUGAAAUCGUUGUCAAGAUUAUUGAAUCAGACCCAUCAUUCCAAAGAGUUUAUGUUUUUUAUGUAUGUUUGUGUUAUGUCUGAACCUCUGGCGCGGUGUUGACUCACCCG